UGCCAGCCGCCGCGGUAAUACGUAGGUGGCGAGCGUUAUUCGGAUUUAUUGGGCGUAAAGGGUUCGUAGGAGGUCGUGCAAGUCUGAUGUGAAAGCCCGUGGCUCAACCACGGAACUGCAUUGGAUACUGCAUGACUUGAGGUUUGGAGAGGAAAGCAGAAUUCCCGGUGUAGCGGUGGAAUGCGUAGAUAUCGGGAGGAAUACCGACAGCGAAGGCAGCUUUCUGGACAACACCUGACUCUGAGGAACGAAAGCCUGGGGAGCAAACAGGAUUAGAUA
rnacentral:rRNA from 1 species